UGAGGAAUAUUGGUCAAUGGGCGGGAGCCUGAACCAGCCAAGCCGCGUGAGGGAGGAAGGCCCUAUGGGUCGUAAACCUCUUUUGUCAGGGAACAAAAGCGAGUAUGUAUACUAGUCUGAGUGUACCUGAAGAAAAAGCAUCGGCUAACUCCGUGCCAGCAGCCGCGGUAAUACGGAGGAUGCGAGCGUUAUCCAGAUUUAUUGGGUUUAAAGGGUGCGUAGGCGGCGGUGCAAGUCAGCGGUAAAAGCCCGGGGCUCAACCCCGGCGAUCCCUUGAAACUGCAGUGCUAGAGAAGGCGAGAGGUACGCGGAAUGCGCAGUGUAGCGGUGAAAUGCUUAGAUAUUGCGCAGAACUCCGAUUGCGAAGGCAGCGUACUGGCGCCUGACUGACGCUGAGGCACGAAAGCGUGGGGAUCGAACAGGAUUAGAUACC
rnacentral:rRNA from 1 species